rnacentral:lncRNA from 1 species
AAGGCAGUAUCAGAAAGAGUGAGCUGGAGUGACCUGGGUGGCUCACAUUCCUAGAGGAGGCCCACAGAGACCCCACAGUGUGGCCACCACGACAUAUCAAGCUAUUUUCAAGGUCAGGCCUGGUACUUGGAGCUGAGCCUGCUGGGGUCCCCACUGGUUGUGGAGGAUGAGGCUCCUCCGCAGACGGCACAUGACCCUGCGGCUGGCCAUGUUGGGCAGUGCCUUCAUGCUUUUCCUCUUCAUCCGGCAAAAGGACACAAGUAGCAGGAAGCAGACCACCGAGAAACCAUGGCUGAAGUCUCUGGUGAACCAGAAGGAUCACGUGCUAGACAUCAUGCUAGGGGCUGUGAACAACCUUAGAGAUUCAAUGCCCAAGCUUCAGAUCAGGGCUCCAGAGCCCCAGCAGGCUCCAGUCUCCAAAAAUCAGUCCUGCCUGCCUGGCUUCUAUACCCCAGCUGAGCUGAAGCCUUUCUGGGAACGGCCCCCACAGGACCCCAACAGCCCUGGGGCAGACGGGACCGCAUUUAAGAAGAGUGAGUGGACCACCCUGGAGAUCCAGGAAAAGGAAGAGGGCUAUAAGAAGCACUGCUUCAAUGCUUUUGCCAGUGACCGGAUCUCCCUGCACAGGGCCCUGGGGCCAGACACCCGACCCCCUGAGUGUGUGGACCAGAAAUUCCCGCGCUGCCCCCCACUGCUCAGCACCAGUGUCAUUAUUGUGUUCCACAAUGAGGCCUGGUCCACCCUGCUGAGAACGGUGUACAGUGUCUUAUACACCAGCCCUGCCAUCUUGCUGAAGGAGAUCAUACU